GGACGGGUGAGUAACACGUGGGUAACCUGCCUGUAAGACUGGGAUAACUCCGGGAAACCGGGGCUAAUACCGGAUGGUUGUUUGAACCGCAUGGUUCAAACAUAAAAGGUGGCUUCGGCUACCACUUACAGAUGGACCCGCGGCGCAUUAGCUAGUUGGUGAGGUAACGGCUCACCAAGGCAACGAUGCGUAGCCGACCUGAGAGGGUGAUCGGCCACACUGGGACUGAGACACGGCCCAGACUCCUACGGGAGGCAGCAGUAGGGAAUCUUCCGCAAUGGACGAAAGUCUGACGGAGCAACGCCGCGUGAGUGAUGAAGGUUUUCGGAUCGUAAAGCUCUGUUGUUAGGGAAGAACAAGUACCGUUCGAAUAGGGCGGUACCUUGACGGUACCUAACCAGAAAGCCACGGCUAACUACGUGCCAGCAGCCGCGGUAAUACGUAGGUGGCAAGCGUUGUCCGGAAUUAUUGGGCGUAAAGGGCUCGCAGGCGGUUUCUUAAGUCUGAUGUGAAAGCCCCCGGCUCAACCGGGGAGGGUCAUUGGAAACUGGGGAACUUGAGUGCAGAAGAGGAGAGUGGAAUUCCACGUGUAGCGGUGAAAUGCGUAGAGAUGUGGAGGAACACCAGUGGCGAAGGCGACUCUCUGGUCUGUAACUGACGCUGAGGAGCGAAAGCGUGGGGAGCGAACAGGAUUAGAUACCCUGGUAGUCCACGCCGUAAACGAUGAGUGCUAAGUGUUGGGGUUUCCGCCCCUUAGUGCUGCAGCUAACGCAUUAAGCACUCCGCCUGGGGAGUACGGUCGCAAGACUGAAACUCAAAGGAAUUGACGGGGGCCCGCACAAGCGGUGGAGCAUGUGGUUUAUUCGAAGCAACGCGAAGAACCUUACCAGGUCUUGACAUCCUCUGACAUCCUAGAGAUAGGACGUCCCCUUCGGGGGCAGAGUGACAGGUGGUGCAUGGUGUCGUCAGCUCGUGUCGUGAGAUUUGGGUUAAGUCCCGACAGCGCACCUGAUCUAGUUGCCAGCAUUAGUUGGGUCUAGACUGCUGAAACGAGGGAUAGUCAAAUCUCUCAGACGAACC
rnacentral:rRNA from 1 species